GCCAGGCGCCAUGCGCACGCCUGUAAUCCAGCAACCUGGGAGGCUGAGGCAGGAGGAUCGUGAGUUCAAAGCCAGCUUCAGCAUCUUAGUGAGGCCCUAAGCAACUCAGCAAGAUCCUGCCUCUA
rnacentral:sRNA from 1 species